AAAUAAUAUACAUAGUCUCAAUAGAAUAUUGGAUGGAUGUAUUUAUCUAAGGAUAGAAGUUGUCCAUUAAGAUAGCAACCACCACCUACAAGUAACAAGUGUUGGAAAUGAAAGACAUCUUAUUCCAUAUUCUCUUUGUAUGCAACCUUGUGUCACGGACACAAAAUACAGACUUGAAAUCUAACAAGAAGUUCAAGAAGAAGUGGCAGAACUAGAUUAAACAGAUGAGUACAAGAACAACACCAGAAAGGUGAGCUAGAACUCCAAGAGAUG
rnacentral:lncRNA from 1 species